CCUACGGGUGGCUGCAGUGGGGAAUAUUGGACAAUGGGCGAAAGCCUGAUCCAGCCAUGCCGCGUGUGUGAAGAAGGCCUUCGGGUUGUAAAGCACUUUCAGUGGGGAAGAAAGCCUUGGGGCUAAUACCCUCGAGGAAGGACAUCACCCACAGAAGAAGCACCGGCUAACUCCGUGCCAGCAGCCGCGGUAAUACGGAGGGUGCGAGCGUUAAUCGGAAUUACUGGGCGUAAAGCGCGCGUAGGCGGUCUGAUAAGCCGGUUGUGAAAGCCCCGGCCUCAACCUGGGAACGGCAUCCGGAACUGUCAGGCUAGAGUGCAGGAGAGGAAGGUAGAAUUCCCGGUGUAGCGGUGAAAUGCGUAGAGAUCGGGAGGAAUACCAGUGGCGAAGGCGGCCUUCUGGACUGACACUGACGCUGAGGUGCGAAAGCGUGGGUAGCAAACAGGAUUAGAUACCCUAGUAGUC
rnacentral:rRNA from 1 species